rnacentral:rRNA from 1 species
UUAUGGCUCAGGAUGAACGCUAGCUACAGGCUUAACACAUGCAAGUCGAGGGGCAGCAUUGGGAUAGCUUGCAUUUCAGAUGGCGACCGGCGCACGGGUGAGUAACGCGUAUCCAACCUUCCUGCCAGUAGGGAACAGCCCGGCGAAAGUCGGACUAAUGCCCUAUGUUCUUCAAUGCGGACAUCUAAGUUGAAGGAAAGAUUCAUCGCUGGCAGAUGGGGAUGCGUCCGAUUAGCUUGCCGGCGGGGUAACGGCCCACCGGGGCGACGAUCGGUAGGGGUUCUGAGAGGAAGGUCCCCCACACUGGUACUGAGACACGGACCAGACUCCUACGGGAGGCAGCAGUGAGGAAUAUUGGUCAAUGGGCGUAAGCCUGAACCAGCCAAGUAGCGUGCAGGAUGACGGCCCUACGGGUUGUAAACUGCUUUUAUGCGGGGAUAAAGUGCGGCACGUGUGCCGCUUUGCAGGUACCGCAUGAAUAAGGACCGGCUAAUUCCGUGCCAGCAGCUGC